AUACGUAUGGUGCAAGCGUUAAUCGGAAUUACUGGGCGUAAAGCGUGCGCAGGCGGUUUUGUAAGACAGUGGUGAAAUCCCCGGGCUCAACCUGGGAACUGCCAUUGUGACUGCAAGGCUGGAGUGCGGCAGAGGGGGAUGGAAUUCCGCGUGUAGCAGUGAAAUGCGUAGAUAUGCGGAGGAACACCGAUGGCGAAGGCAAUCCCCUGGGCCUGCACUGACGCUCAUGCACGAAAGCGUGGGGAGCAAACAGGAUUAGAUACCCUGGUAGUCCACGCCCUAAACGAUGUCAACUGGUUGUUGGGGAUUUAUUUUCUCAGUAACGAAGCUAACGCGUGAAGUUGACCGCCUGGGGAGUACGGCCGCAAGGUUAAAACUCAAAUGAAUUGACGGGG
rnacentral:rRNA from 1 species